AUGAGAGGAGUCUUGGAUGAUGAUUCGGAGGUCGAGAGAUUGGUGGUCAUUGGCUCCGGAGGCUGCGGGUUCCGCUUGGGAGGAUAUGGAUUGGGGGCUUGCCCUCGCGGCUGUGGGAUCAACGGCGGGCGGAGAUGGACAGGGCUGGAGCCAAGCAUGGGGGAGGAGGCCGACGACGAGGAAGGGGGGAUAGCGAGGAGGACGAGGUCUCGGCGGCGGCCGGUGGCGCGGUGCUGGGAUCGGAGGCGGAGAUCCGAGAGGCGAACUCGUCGGAAGGUGGGCCGACGCGGGGGAGCGGUAGGAGAGGGCGCAGCUCUGGCGAUCCCGGACAGAGAUGCGAGCUCGUCGAGGGCGGCUGAGGCGGCGAGUGCGGCGGGGGCGAGGGAAGGGGAUAAGGGGUUCAUCCGGUCAUGCAACAGCCGGGGAGAUGGCAACAAGGUGUCAAGGUCGGAGCUCAAGCAGCAGCGAAGUGGGCAGUUAUGGCUGCGCCUCCACAGAUAGGACAAAAGGA
rnacentral:lncRNA from 1 species